GCCGGGUACGGUGGUGCAUGCUUGUAAUCCCAGCAGCUUGGGAGGCUGAGGCAGGAGGAUUGUGAAUUCAAAGCCAGCAAAAGUGAGGUGCUAAGCAACUCAGUGAGACCCUGUCUCUA
rnacentral:sRNA from 1 species